rnacentral:rRNA from 1 species
AUUGAACGCUGGCGGCAGGCCUAACACAUGCAAGUCGAGCGGAUGAAGGGAGCUUGCUCCUGGAUUCAGCGGCGGACGGGUGAGUAAUGCCUAGGAAUCUGCCUGGUAGUGGGGGAUAACGUCCGGAAACGGGCGCUAAUACCGCAUACGUCCUGAGGGAGAAAGUGGGGGAUCUUCGGACCUCACGCUAUCAGAUGAGCCUAGGUCGGAUUAGCUAGUUGGUGGGGUAAAGGCCUACCAAGGCGACGAUCCGUAACUGGUCUGAGAGGAUGAUCAGUCACAGGGGAAAUGAGCAAGGGCCCAGACUCCUGCGGGGGGGACCGUGGGGGAAUUUUGGACAAGGGGCAAAAGUCUAACCCACCCUUGCGGGGUGGGGGAAGAAGGUUUUCGGAUUGUAAAGCAUUUUAAGUGGGGAGAAAGGAAAGUAAUUAAAUCCCUUGUUGUUUUAACGUUACCAAAAAAAAAAGCCCCGCCUAACUUCGUG